GUGAACGCUGGCGGUAGGCCUAACACAUGCAAGUCGAACGGCAGCACAGUAAGAGCUUGCUCUUACGGGUGGCGAGUGGCGGACGGGUGAGGAAUACAUCGGAAUCUACUUUUUCGUGGGGGAUAACGUAGGGAAACUUACGCUAAUACCGCAUACGACCUACGGGUGAAAGCAGGGGAUCUUCGGACCUUGCGCGAUUGAAUGAGCCGAUGUCGGAUUAGCUAGUUGGCGGGGUAAAGGCCCACCAAGGCGACGAUCCGUAGCUGGUCUGAGAGGAUGAUCAGCCACACUGGAACUGAGACACGGUCCAGACUCCUACGGGAGGCAGCAGUGGGGAAUAUUGGACAAUGGGCGCAAGCCUGAUCCAGCCAUACCGCGUGGGUGAAGAAGGCCUGCGGGUUGUAAAGCCCUUUUGUUGGGAAAGAAAAGCAGCAGGUUAAUACCCCGCUGUUCGGACGGGACCCAAAGAAUAAGCACCGGCGAACUUCGU
rnacentral:rRNA from 1 species